UCUGGAGCGGGUCUCACUCCCGGGCUCUGCCUUCCCUUUUUCUCUCCCCCCCCCCCUUUCCCUGGAAAGGAGAGGUGCAGAAACAAGGGAUCGCUGGAAGCAAACAAGGGUGGGAGUGUGUGGGGCGGGGGGGGGGGAGAGGAAGAGAGGCGGACCUCGUUGCGAAGGCUCUCCUGGCCAAAUAAAAAGCAAGGAAUCCCGAAGGAGCCGCCUCUCGGCUUCCCCCCACCCGGAUCCCUGAUUGCUAAAUCUUGGCGGGCGGGUUUGCAUUUCAAUAGAUGGAAUAAAGAGGGGAUCUUUGCAGCCCGAUCCUGUUGCAAGGAGUCAGAGUGUGCAAACAUCUACCCUGUAUUUUUGCUCACCUAGUGGAAAGCCUUCGUGUUAUGGAUUCUUAUUAUUAACACAGUUAUCCUUGCUGCACCUCAGGCCAGAGCACCGUUUCCAACUUGGCACUUUCCAAAUGGAUUGGCAUUCCUAACUCCAGGGAAUUCUGGGAGUAUAAUUGCCAGAGCGGAAGAGGAUAUCCAAGAGAAAGGGCCGUAGCAAGGUGAAGUGCACUGCAUGUAACAAAGUGCAAUACAAAAAGGAGGGUUCAGAUCCAAAUAUACUUGUAUUAGGAUUCUAGACAAAUUACAGUGACAUAAAUUAGUUCUCAACAACUUACUGACUUGAAUGAGGUUUAGAUAAUAGUUUUGGAACUAUGACCCUUUUUAUUUGAUAUAUAACAGUUACAGAAAACAUGGGCCACAUUUAAUUAAGCUGUGCUGCAAUUACAUACCGUAUAUAUGGCCUGGGGUUGUUGUUUUUUUAAAGCUUGAAAAUAGGAAAUCAAAGGAGAAAUGAAUAUUGAACACCCUAGAGUAACCUUCCAACACUUGUACCCAGUGUGGUCAAUGGCCUCACAUGUUUGAAAAAUGUAAAACUGAUCUGUAGAUUUUUUUUUUUAGCCACAUAUGUUUUUUAAAAACCUUGAACUAAAUGCAAUUCAGAAUCAUGAAUAGGAUCUUCAUUUACCUCUACCAACAUUACACCUCUGCAGAAAAUAUAUAUACCGUAUUUUUCGGAGUAUAAGACGCACCUGAGUAUAAGACGCAGCAA